CGGAGAGCGUCGCCGCGGAGCAGCCGGAGAGCCUCACCAAGCAGCCUGAAACUGUAUUUGUUCUCAAUCUUGUUCCUGUGCCUUGCUCGCUCUCUCCAACCUCUCUCUGUCCUCCUUCCUCUGCUACUUCUACAACUGUUCUUCCCUCACUUUCUUCCCCUCUUCCACCUCCACUGCGGCAGAGGAAAAGAAGGUUAAACACCUUUACCGCGUCAAACUCUACCACCCCUGUCUCUCCUCCAUAUCCAUCUGCCUCUUCCAUUUCCAAGCCUUUGAGUCAGGAGGUGCCACUGGUAAAGAACAGAAGAAAAGGUUGUCAAAAAUGUAGUAGGCAGAAGGUUUUCCUUUUUGAUAAAAUAACUGGGGAAUGAAUAAAUGAGGGGAAAGCUGAAUUGAAAGUUCACUGGUUGCCUUGCACUGUGUGUGGCAAAACCUGGGAUGACACAUGGGAGCCUGCGAGUGAAUUCCAACACAUUGUGCCAAAGUCCCCACAUCCCAACCAGCUUUCAGCAUGACAACAUAGUCACCAUAGACACCUGGACUCAUCAAGCACCCUUCAAUGCAGUUUAUUUUUGAGUGUUUUUUCUUGCUGUUUGUUCUUCAGUAAAGUUUUUGCACAGUACCCAGUCUCUUUUAGUGUUUAGUCUCUUACAGUUGUCUUUUUAAAAAAAAUUUUGCAUUGGUCUUGAACUGCUUAACAGUGUACCUUGCGAGAUCUUAAGUUUCUUGUCCGUGAGCAUAAGCUCAUAAAUACCAAAUAAUACUCCAAAAGCUACUAAAUUGUCACUCAAGUUUUGUAGUCAUGUUUGAAGUGUUUGAUUACAAUAAUAGAUAUGAAUUACUUUAUUAUUUAUAGUCAUAAUUGUAAUUGCCAAUUUAUUAUAAGUUUCCUUGCA